ACGAAGCCAGGGCUGUUAUCACCUCUCCUUAGCCCUUUAAGUGCAGCAGGCUCUUUGGUGUCUCUCGCUGAAUGCCGCUUUGUUAAUUGCGACGGUAAACAGGACACAGCGCUGACCAUCGCCGUGUUUUGCUCAGGCGGCACUUACCACAAAACCGCUGGAUUUAGGAAAGGAGCCUGAGUCCAGGGGGAGUCACACACGAAGGAGGGUUCGUAGAAGUACUCAGCAUUUCCUGGACUUGCUUCUAUCAUUUAAAAUGUAUUGCAUACCUUGAAGUGAAUGUAAUGGCUGGCUUAAUUGGAGAUAACUUCACUGAAGUGGCCGUAGUUACCAUUUAUGUCAGCAGUGAAUGUGCCCUUUAAUGCUGUGCCCCUCAGAACUUCUGCAAGAGAGGAAUUGGAGUCCUGGCAGAGUGACCAGAAGUGUGACACUCAGGAGAGGAAAAGUGUUUGCUACAAUGCAGUUGCAAUUUGAGAUCAGCAUUCUGAGUGGAGUUAGUUCCAGCUGCUGAUACAAUGCUGACUGAAAACUCCAGUUUCAAUGAAGAGGCUUCUGUUGAUGCUUACAGAUGGCAAAAUGUCAUUUCCUCUCCUCUAUUUAAGAGAUCUCCCAUCUCUUUCUUAAGAUAUUUCCGGAUCCUGUCACAGCAUCUUUAGAGCCAUUUUCCAGCUGUUCUCAGACUUUCUCAUUUCUGGAAGCCUGCCCCUCCUUCAGCUCCAACCACAAAUGUCCACGCAAUAGAAAUCCAGUCAUUCUCCAAGAGGUCAGUCAAAGAAUAACUAAAGAUUACCCCAGAAUGUCUCUGUUAUUUUUUCACUCCCAUCUAAGGACCUUUAGAAUCACAAAGUCAGGCAUGAACUCAUUACGUCAAAGCAAGACACCAACUUUUUUGUGAACUUGCCCUGAUUGAAUUGCGUAUAAAUAUCUUUCCCAAAGUUGCUAAGGUCUUUAGCUCAGGCAUGUCCAAGCUGCAAAUCAGGAUGUCAAAAUACGCAAGAAAAUGUUAAUGUCACAACCCCCUCAAAAAUAAAGGAAUUAACAGGUUUUCUGUUCUCUUUAAAAUUUAGGCAACUUGCUUGAUGACAAUCAGCAGUCCAGUCACUUUCAGGUGUCACCAGCUAUCUCUUGCUGCUGCUUUACUAUAGAUUUGAAGUUCUAUCUCCUCUUUGCUCUUUUUUGGUUGAAAAAAAACUUCCCACCAUGGUGUCUAAAUACUUGGGAAAGCAUUUUCAAAAGACCCAAAAAUAUAUGCGGGAUGCUUCAGAUUUUGUUUAAAAAGAAAAAAAAAAGGAAUAAACCUUCAGAGUCCUGUUGAAUAUUUGUACAUCUGGAUAUAUUUGAUUCCUCAUGUCUUUAACCUCAAUACUAGUGCACUGAACUGCACUAGUUCUUACUGGAUCCUAAUUUCCAAUAACUUUUAGUAACUUAAUAUCCUAGUUCAUUUUUACAUAUUACAUAUUAAGCUUACCUUCAUGUUGACCACUAGAACAUGCUAUGUUGCUCAAAUAUGUACAUGUAGAAUGCUUGUGUGUGUACCACAAAUUAAAAAAAAUUGAUAAAAAAUUAAACUGCUAAACCCAAACUGCAUUCAAAUAAAUAACUUACUCUACUCCCUAGUCUACCCUAGUCCAUUUUUCUUUGGUUGCUUUUUUAUGGUAAGAAAUCUGCUUUUGCUGCAGGAUUUUUAAACAUUUUGCUACAGAAUUUAGCUAAUUAAUACAUAAUAUCAAAAAACCCUAAUGCAACCCAAACCAAAACCAAAAACCCCUAACUGGUUCCUGGAAGCAUUAAUGUGCACUUGUUACACACAAGAAUUUAGACUUGUCUGUUGCAGGGAGCAUUUUAGCUUGUACGUCUCACAUCUGGACUAUGCCUUUGAAGAAGCAGUCUACAUUUUCUUGUUUUCUAACUUAUGGUUCAAGUAGUUUUGAUUCUCAUCCAUGUAAAUAGUUUUUCUGAUUCUGUUCAGAGAGAUGACUAUUAUCCAUCUGAAAAGAAAAUAUUUCAUAAACUUCUAAGAUCAUCAUUAUAUGCUAUUGGAUAAAAUAGAGGGAUUGUCACAAGGGUUUAAAGCAAAUUAUUAUCAUUAUCAUUGUUAUAGAAAGAUAAAAACUAGAUAGAUUUCAUUAUGGAAGGCACAGAAAAUCAAUGCAUUUCUCCACUAUCAUGUUACUGAGAAGCAUACUAAAUGCAGCUUAUUAGGAAGUGUCAUUCCUAUCCCUAAACCAGAAAGACAAGAAUAGAACCAAAAGGGGAUACUGAUAAGAAGAAUUAUUUUCCUAUGCAAUUAGCAGUGUUAUUCCCUUUUGCAGGAUGACUUUGUAGCCAGGAGUUCAUGAAGAGUUUUUUCCCUAAGAGAUUUUUUGGCCAUAGAAAACAUCCUGUGUAGUUUGGGCUAAAAUAACAAGAGAUUCGCAGCUCUGUGACUGCUGAUCUUUAGCUCACUUCUGAAAAUAGCAUAGAUAUAAAAAUCCCUUUUCUUCUAGAUGUCUUAUUUACAGCAGCCUUUUUACAUCAAUAUUUUUUUCUCUUUCUUCUAAACAUGAAUACUGACCUCUAAAAGGAAAGUAUUUCUAAACUAGCUAAUCUAGUGGAGAGAUGUUCAACGUGACAAGCUCCUUACAAUAUGAUCAAUAUCUUAGCAUAGAAAAAGAGAAGAGUACAUAAGCAAAGUCUAGGAUAAAGAGUAAUAUUACUGGGAGGAUUACUAAAAUUAUAAUGAUAUUUAGAGGUUUCAUUUUGCUGCUUUUUGGGCUAAAAAUUAAUCUUUGUCCAAAGAGCUUGACAAAUGAUACUGGGGUGAUGAACAGACAAGCAGAUAUGUGAGCAAUUAUGGUUGCUUGCAGAAGGUGCUUUGAUUUUUUAUUUGCUGUGGCAGUGUUUUUCUUUGUUUCCAUGACAAUAAAAAAGAAGACUGUAUCUAAAAACUUGCUUUAAAUUUUUUUCAUUGUUUUUCCUUAACUUGUACUAAACAGGCAAUGAAGGAGAGUAAUGGUUAUUUUCCACAUGGAUAAUCCAGGAUUAGAAAA